rnacentral:misc_RNA from 1 species
AAGUAAAAGCCUCAAAGUUUUCCUUACUUGGCAAACGACCGCUGGCGCUGUGUUAGAAACUCAUUUUUGAAGCAAUCGAUCUCUCUCAUUCCAAAUUUGAUCUCUUGUCCAGUUAGGGAAGACAUGGAGGGCAUUUUGCCGACGACGGCGUUCUCUGUUUCUUCCUCUUCGUCAAAAUCAGAUAGGCGAUCAAAAUCAAAAUCUACUCAAACGUCAUCUAAACCUUCACUAGUACUGGCGUUAAUUUCCUGCUUCGCUUGGUUAUAUGUUGCCGGAAGGUUAUGGCAAGAUGCAGAGAACAGAGUGUUAUUAGUUGCUCUUUUCAAGAAGAAUUCACAGCAGAGACCAAAGAUGCUGACAGUGGAAGACAAGCUAAUGGUUUUAGGAUGCAAGGAUCUUGAGAGGAGAAUAGUUGAAGUUGAAAUGGAAUUAACAGUGGCUAAGAGUCAAGGGUACCUCCAGAAUCAGUUGAAACAGAGUAGUUCUUCUUCAGGCAAACAAUUUCUGGCUGUUAUAGGAAUUUAUACGGGAUUUGGAGGUCGAUUGAGGAGAAAUGUGAUCAGAGGGUCUUGGUUUCCAAAUGUUGAUGCUUUGUCAAAACUUGAAGCAAGAGGAGUGCUCGUGCGAUUUGUAGUUGGUCGGAGUCCCAACCGAGGUGAUAGCUUGGACCGCAAUAUUAAUGAGGAAAAUCGAGCAACAAAAGAUUUCUUGAUUCUAGGAAGUCAUGAGGAAGCUCAUGAGGAAUUGCCCAAGAAGGCUAAAUAUUUCUUUAGCUCAGCAAUACAAACUUGGGAUGCAGAGUUUUAUGUGAAAGUUGAUGACAACAUUGAUGUUGACCUUGAUGGGUUGAUUGAGCUCCUCCAAAAGCGUCGUGGUCAAAAUAGUUCUUACAUUGGAUGCAUGAAAUCUGGAGAAGUAGUUUCGGAAGAGGGAAAGUCAUGGUACGAGCCAGAAUGGUGGAAAUUCGGAGAUGAGAAGUCGUACUUCCGACAUGCUGCUGGUUCAGUUGUGGUGCUUUCUAAAAAUUUGGCUCAGUAUAUUAACAUAAACAGUGCUUCAUUGAAGAGCUAUGCACAUGAGGAUAUAUCUAUUGGAUCAUGGAUGAUGGGUCUUCAGACAACUUACAUAGAUGACAGCCGCCUAUGCUGUAGCACCACAACCAGCCAAGACAAGGUGUGCUCAUUGGCUUGAUCUUAUUCCAUUCCAUUCGUUUCUAUUGGAGCAUCCCAUGAUUCAAAAUGGACACAUGCUGUUUCUGUGUCAGGUAGUAGUAUUGCUGAUCUAAUUCAGCUAUUAUAUAAAUAUGGAGUGGGCAAAAUCCUUUAUAGGAUGUGUACACUACUAUUGGAGUAGAGAGUGUAAAUUUUGGGAGGACUUGAGUUUUUUAAAGAUGGAAAUAGUUGUUGAUGAAGUGAUUAAAUUAGUGGAACAUGAUUUUGUCCUUGCCGUGAUUAUAUACAAUUUGAAGAUCUACCUGUUAAGCAGGAGGAUCGAAAGUGCCAUUAUCUGAAGUUGAAU